GUGGCCGCGGCCGCCCGGAGCGCGCGCGGCCUGCGGCUGGGCGCAGGCGGCACGGAGACGCAGCAGGGCGGCGCCUCGUCGGUGGGUUUGUGGAGGAGCUUGGAGGCGGGGUCCACAUGCGACAGGAACGACGUCGAGGAACGCAGCGUCAGAGCCAUAGUUUCGCCUCUGGAUCCACAGCCAAUCAGCAGACAGGGCCGCAACACGAACGCACAGAAGCUUGUGCUUGACGAGAGAGAGAGAGGAGGGGGCGAUUUGAACAAGAUGGUUUCAACUUGGUUGGAGAUAGCUGAACAAAUGGGAGGAGAUCGAGUCUCGGCGUGCGCUGGGAGCUCUAUUUAUAGAGGAAUUGCCGG
rnacentral:misc_RNA from 1 species